rnacentral:rRNA from 1 species
GAUCAUGGCUCAGGAUGAACGCUAGCUACAGGCUUAACACAUGCAAGUCGAGGGGAAACGACAUCGAAAGCUUGCUUUGGUGGGCGUCGACCGGCGCACGGGUGAGUAACGCGUAUCCAACCUGCCCACCACGUUGGGGAUAACCUUGCGAAAGUAAGACUAAUACCCAAUGAUAUCCCACGAAGGCAUCGGAAUGGGAUUAAAGAUUUAUCGGUGAUGGAUGGGGAUGCGUCUGAUUAGCUUGUUGGCGGGGUAACGGCCCACCAAGGCGACGAUCAGUAGGGGUUCUGAGAGGAAGGUCCCCCACAUUGGAACUGAGACACGGUCCAAACUCCUACGGGAGACAGCAGUGAGGAAUAUUGGUCAAUGGGCGAGAGCCUGAACCAGCCAAGUAGCGUGCAGGAUGACGGCCCUAUGGGUUGUAAACUGCUUUUAUAAGGGAAUAAAGUGGGUCUCGUGAGACUCUUUGCAUGUACCUUAUGAAUAAGGACCGGCUAAUUCCGUG